CCUGACACAACUCUCACUGAAAAUAUGGAAAACAGUUUGCCAGUCAUUAGCGACAGCGAGGAAGAAGAAUUGUUGAAACCAGUUUCGGACGAAGACAAAUAUAGUGAUGUUGUAAGUGAAGACGACAGGUUGUUGUAUGAAUCUCAAGAUCCUAAUAUUGC